CAAACGGCCCUCUUUAGGGCCAUAAUUAAUUUAAUCCUCACGAUG
rfam:Caenorhabditis japonica strain DF5081 Contig3081.1, whole genome shotgun sequence.